AAGACUUUAAGUUAAAUAAAACUAUUAACCUUCAAAGUUAAAAAUAAUAAAAAAAUUAAGUCUUA
rnacentral:tRNA from 1 species